GCCAAACUUUCCAAUUGUUCAAAUAGCUGACCUUAAGUCCCUAAAUUCGAAGGAAAAAUACACUUGAAAUUAUGAAAUACAUCAAUUAUAUUAGCCUUGCCAUUUUGCUCUUCCUGGCUGGUGUUUCUGCCACUGUUACUUUGACCCAGCCACCUGAAGCAUUUGCAUCUCCAGGGAGAUUCAUUACUCUGACUUGUAAAGUAUUAGGAUACAAUAUCAAUGAUCACCAUUUGUACUGGGUUCGUCAAUCUAAUGGCAAAGAGCUUGUCUUUAUCACAGCCUUCAGGACUGGAUAUACCACAUACACUGCCAAUGAAUUUAAGGGCCGUGUUACCCCUUCCACCCAAGGUUCAACAGCACAGCUAAGGAUAGAUGCUCUAAAAGUAGAAGACACUGCCAUCUACUACUGUGCAAGAAACACAGUGACUGAAUUUGGGACUGUUGCUGCCCAAUAUGUUCACAGGAAGGAUAUCACAGUAGAAGUGGUUAAUAACAUUGGGACCACAGAAGGGGAUCAGAUAAAAGGGGAUUGCAGAGAAAAGGACCGAAAAGAAAGCCCCUAUCCAAGAGGCAGCAGCAAGCUCGAAGGUGAACCAACCACUCAUGAUGACAGAAUAUCUCAAGGGGUUACAGAUGGCUACAUAGCGAUCAAAGGCCAUAAUAGCCACCAGAAUGUAAUCUAA